AUACGAAAGGUGCAAGCGUUGUUCGGAUUUACUGGGCGUAAAGAGAGUGUAGGUUGUUUAUUAAGUCGGUUGUGAAAUCCCGGGGCUCAACCUCGGAACUGCAUUCGAUACUGGUAGACUAGAGUUCGGGAGGGGUAAGCGGAAUUCCGUGUGUAGCAGUGAAAUGCGUAGAUAUACGGAGGAACACCUGAGGCGAAGGCGGCUUACUGGACCGAUUCUGACACUGAGACUCGAAAGCGUGGGUAGCAAACAGGAUUAGAAACCCCAGUAGUCC
rnacentral:rRNA from 1 species